UGGGGAAUUUUGGACAAUGGGCGCAAGCCUGAUCCAGCAAUGCCGCGUGCAGGAAGAAGGCCUUCGGGUUGUAAACUGCUUUUGUCAGGGAAGAAAUCUUCUGAGUUAAUACCUCGGGAGGAUGACGGUACCUGAAGAAUAAGCACCGGCUAACUACGUGCCAGCAGCCGCGGUAAUACGUAGGGUGCGAGCGUUAAUCGGAAUUACUGGGCGUAAAGCGUGCGCAGGCGGCUUUGCAAGACAGGUGUGAAAUCCCCGGGCUCAACCUGGGAACUGCAUUUGUGACUGCAAGGCUAGAGUACGGCAGAGGGGGAUGGAAUUCCGCGUGUAGCAGUGAAAUGCGUAGAUAUGCGGAGGAACACCAAUGGCGAAGGCAAUCCCCUGGGCCUGUACUGACGCUCAUGCACGAAAGCGUGGGGAGCAAACA
rnacentral:rRNA from 1 species